UACGAAGGGGGCUAGCGUUGUUCGGAAUUACUGGGCGUAAAGCGCGUGUAGGCGGGUCUUUAAGUCAGGGGUGAAAUGCCAAGGCUCAACCUUGGAACUGCCUUUGAUACUGGAGAUCUUGAGUCCGGGAGAGGUGAGUGGAAUUGCGAGUGUAGAGGUGAAAUUCGUAGAUAUUCGGAAGAACACCAGUGGCGAAGGCGGCUCACUGGACUGGUAUUGACGCUGAGGUGCGAAAGCGUGGGGAGCAAACAGG
rnacentral:rRNA from 1 species